UUGUGCAGCCAGUCCUAUAAUUGAUAAAUAAAUAUUGGUUGCUCGCUGAAGCUGAGCAGGGCUGAGCCUUAUAAGUACUGGAUGGGAGACCACAUGGGAAAACUAAGUUGCUGUCAGAA
rnacentral:rRNA from 1 species